rnacentral:lncRNA from 1 species
UGGAAAACUGCAAGCACGGCAGAUGCCAAAACCCCUUUCCUGUGCCUGAAAGAGAACUUCUGGAGAUUUUCCAAAUGCAGACCAAGAGGGAUUGAGCUCUCCUCUACCCUGCCUGGCCCAGAAGUUCCAUUUCCUACCUCCUUCUAGCAGGGGAGCAGGGGCCUUCCUUGGUGGCCCCCAGGAUGGCCCUAUCUCAGAAAGACACAACCACGACUUCUCUGUAUAAUAGACACCACCACACAGGCUUUCUGCCAGCAUUGAGGAGAAACAGGAGCUCUUCUCCAGCCAGGUGAACAUGGCCUCGCUUGGCAAGCUUGCAGUCCUACAUUCCGGUAGGUUACAGGCUGCUUCCAGUAACGCAGGGAAGCUGGGGAAGGAUGAGUUGGGACAUUUUAUUAUGGUGGACUAUCUGAGUGGAAAUGGAUAGCUGAGCCCUCUGAGGACCCGCAGCCUCAUUACCCAGAGGGGAAACCAAGGUUCACGCAGGAGAAGGGGCUUGUCCAAGGUCACUUUUGCAGUCUUGUCUCUAAGAAUAUGGAUUUUGGAGACAGGGAGAUUUGAAUUCUGCCACUUACUAGCUAUAAGAGCUUGAGCAAAUUUCAAGCCCUGAGGCUUAGUUUCUGCAAAUGUUAAUGAGGAAUCACAAUUCUGAUAUUUUAUUGCUAUGAAGAUUAGAGGAAAUGAUAGAUGAAGAGCUUGCUCCUGAGUGGCUGUUCAGGCCUCCAGCCCCAAGUCCCUAGGCAUAGGAUGAUGGGGGAACUGCUGAGAAGGGCCUUCUUGUUUCUCAGGCAACAAAACUGCCAAAGGCUUUAGGAGAGAAUCCUAGUGGGGUUUGGGUUGGGGGAACUCUGAUUUCAAGGAAGUGAGUGGCUUGGGAUCUGGUCCAGCCUUCCCGUCCUUUCCUUUCAUUCAUCUGCUCAUUCAUUCCACAGAUGUGGAUUAAGCAUCCACUCAGGGACAGAUUCUGUCCUGGAUGCUGCUCUAUCAAAGAGAACUAAAACCCAACUGCUCCCCACCCUAAAUGCUCACAGUCCAGUGGAGAAAGAGAGAGAGAGACAAGGCAAAGAGACACUGUCAGAGUGAAAUUGCUGUUAGAGGUGUGUGCAUGACACACGGGGAACCCUGAGGAAGUGGAGCUGCUGAAGAGUCAUGCUUCCUUUUUUUUUUUUUUUUUAACUGCAGAGCACUUUGUUAUGGUUGAGACCUACCUUUCUGUAUAAUUUUAUA